rnacentral:rRNA from 1 species
CCCUUAGAUGUUCUGGGCUGCACGCGCGCUACACUGAUGCACUCAACGAGUUUACGACCUUGCCCGAUAGGGUUGGGUAAUCUUUUUAAAAUGCAUCGUGAUGGGGAUAGAUUAUUGCAAUUAUUAAUCUUCAACGAGGAAUUCCUAGUAAGCGCGAGUCACCAGCUCGUGCUGAUUACGUCCCUGCCCUUUGUACACACCGCCCGUCGCUCCUACCGAUUGAGUGCUCAGGUGAAUAAUUCGGACUGCAGCAAUGUUUGGAUCCCGAACGUUGCAGCGGAAAGUUUAGUGAACCUUAUCACUUAGAGGAAGGAGAAGUCGUAACA